GACGGAGGAUGCAAGCGUUAUCCGGAAUGAUUGGGCGUAAAGCGUCCGCAGGUGGCAGUUCAAGUCUGCUGUCAAAGACCGGGGCUUAACUUCGGAAAGGCAGUGGAAACUGAACAGCUAGAGUAUGGUAGGGGCAGAGGGAAUUCCUGGUGUAGCGGUGAAAUGCGUAGAGAUCAGGAGGAACACCGGUGGCGAAGGCGGGUCUCUGGGCCGUAACUGACGCUGAGGAGCGAAAGCGUGGGGAGCGAACAGG
rnacentral:rRNA from 1 species